GUCGACUAGCUCAGCUGGUUAGAGCGUGGUGCUAAUAGAACUCAUCUGUUAACGCCAAGGUCGUGAGUUCGAUCCUCGGCAAGUGAACU